CAGAGUCGAGAGUAUUUGCCACGUCCUUGUUGCCUUUUUUUCUUGCACUAUUUAUGAAUUCUUGUUAUGCGGUUAACGUUUUGCGUUAUUCAGUGAUUCAUAUCCGGGGACUCGUAAAAUCAUAAAAAAUGUGAUAAUAAAAUAUUUGUCAACAUGUAUCACGACACCAGCAAGAGACACACCCAAACCCACACACAUGAAGCUAAAAUUUGCAAUCAAAGUGGCCGACUACUCGGAUUGUGUGUGUAAUUCAAUCCUGAUCAGUCGCCGUCCCAAGGAGUUCCGACGGGGAGGAAAUUUGGGGAGGAUUGGGCAGCGGUAAAAUGUCGCUUACAGCGAAUGUCACACAUCAUGGGUCUCCCAGGGAUGCUUUCAUCAUCAUUUCCAUUGGGCAUUUCGUAUUUCGCGUACCAUCUCCAUCUCCAUUUCCAUUUCCAUCCGCAUCCGCAUUCCCAUUUCCAUUUCAUCAUCAUCAUCAUCAUUGUGCUGACCUUUCACAAAGAAGAAGCAGCAGGCGGCGGCAUAUGCAAAUGUGAUAAUCCGAUGCCGGGACUGCCUCACACAGAUACACACACACACAUGUACACAGAGGGAACACACACACUGGAACAGUGGCCAGACACCGCAAGUAAAGAGAUAAAAACGCGUGACAAAUAAAAUGCCACAGAAAACUGGGAACUGGAAGUUGGGAAUUAUGGACCAAGUUGCAUUCAAGUCCUCUCCGUCUUCCGCCCCAGCAUAUUAAAAUAGAAAUGGGCAGAAAAAAUUUCAAAUAAUUUUAUUGUUGUAGUCUAUGACGUUUGCACAUCUCCAUCCGCAUCACAACUUUUUUUGCCACAGUCGCUGCCAUAAAAUUGCGUACGUGAUGGUACCAAUUUGCAAAGACUUCUUUAUUUAUUGCACCAGCAGGCUUUAAGCUACUUGAAGCUCGGUGGAUUUUGAUUUCUCUCCUUUUCCUCGAUUGAAAAUCAAAGUUCGGCGAGAAAUUUUCUCUAAAAAGUUUGGCCUAUUGAUAAAACAAUCUGAAUAAAAUUUUAUGUGAAAGUAAAUGGAAGAAAACGAGUUGUUUGCCUGUUUGGGCCAAAAUCUCUGCUAGAUUCUUCGUUUGAUGGUGUUUCCUGUUUCAUUUCUACAUUUACGUGUACUUUUAAAUUUAGGCAAAGAUUAUACAUAUGUUUUAAUCGUUUUCGUUACAUUGAAGAGAAUAGUUUAUCCAGAAUUUAUAUUUUACAUAUUCUAAUACACUGAGCUUCAUAGACUUUUUUCCUUAAAAUGUUUUUGGCAUUUAAAGUGGAUUUAUAUAAUAUGAUGCACGUAGCGAAAACGUAAUCAUACCUGUAACUGCCUGAAACUUCUUUAAUACUCAAAUAUUUGCACAAUGCAUAAAGUUUUGCACCCUUUUCUCGGCGGUCUUCCCGACGGAAAAACUUUUAAUGAUGAGUUUCCACCUGAUAUACAAAAUACCUUUAAGCUGCUUUAAGUUUUUAAUUUUACUAUGUUGUUACGUAGGACUUAAGAACACUUGCUAAAGACCUUCUGCAAUUUGUUAAUGGUUAAAAGGUGUUCAGGGCAGAGAUUUUCAUUUUAUUUCGAUUUAAUCAUGUAUCAUUCUACCAUUUAUAUAAGGUAUAUUUCGUAGCCUUAUGUUAUGUGAUGGUAAACCAGCAGUGUAUUUGCUUUUUUUUUGCAUCAACUUUGAUGACCUCCUCUUAACAAUCCACCCACAGACGCAUCCCCAUUACGUAUACGCAGUGGUGGCGGAGGCCGAUGUGUUGCCGUUGCCUGUUGAGUCCUGCCCUCCAUUGUCACGCGACGAAUUAUUUGGGAGCGCGGAAAAGAAUAAUCAUUUUAUUUUUGAUAUGCCAUUUAGCCCCGCCCACAGGGACCGCCCCUUCCGCUGGCGCACACCAAAUUGUGUAAUAUUGUAUAAAAAAUUUAUUAACGUAUAAAAAGCAGAGCGAAUGAAAUCUUCCGGCAGAUGAUAUUGUAAUAACGGCAACACUUAAAAAAAUGACAGCCCCUAACGAAACCCUACUUACGCAUUCGCAGUUUUUGAACGAAGAAUGAAAUAAAGUCGAGUGGGAAGGGGGCUUUAGCCGAAAAAAAAACGACAGAAAAAUGCCGCCCCAUAAAAUUGGCUUUUGUUUGUAUUUCCGCAUGAAUUGCAUGAAUGGUAAUUUUGCAGUUUAAUGUUUGUGUGAUGGGCGGGGGCAUGGCCAGAAAUCAGAAAGAGAAGCGCAGCGCCUAAAAAAAGGAAAAACAACAGGCAAGCCCAAAAAUUUGCAUAAUAAACAAAUCAACUGAUGGACGAAGGAGCGGAAGGGGGAGGGUUUCGGUUUAGCUUAGAAUUAUGAGGAUGAAACUUUGGCACACACACACAGACGCAAAUUAAAUAAACGCAUAAAUAGAACAUUAACGCCAUAAAUCAUUUGCAUCGGUCGCUAAAUAUUUUGCGGCUCCUGCGGCUGUCUGUUUAUAAAAACACUCGUACAUAUAUAUAUGUGUAUAUAUAUCGGUGUGGACGGGAUUGCACAUUGAAAUCGAUUGAACUUGCGGAAACGGAAAUGGAAAUGAAAGCAAAUUUAUGGAAAUAAUACGACCGUGGCUCCAUCGAAUGAUUGCGCGUGUCCAGAAUUCAUUUGAAUGUGAAAGGUAGUCGCCGUCGACUGUCUGUCCAUUAUUUACCUUAAUUUUGAUUUACAAGCAUAAUUCAAUAUGAGGCGCGUUUUCGUUUUGAUGUUUUUAUUGUGUUUGCAUUUGCCCGCCCGAAAGUGCGUAAUUUAUGUGUCUAAAUGUGCAGAAAAUGUUUUUUAACCAACUGAUCAGGGUUCGGAUUUCCGUGUUCCAAUGUGGAAAGUGCCUCGAGCGUGAAAAGCUGCGGCUUUCACAUUUCUGGGAGCCGUGUUUUUGACGAGGGACAAAAACCUUAAGGUGAAGUUUCAGUUUUUGGGGUUCUUUGGGAUCCCUUUGCUUAAAAUACUAAUUGACAAAGGUGAAAGGACAUAUACAUCGCAGCGUUUUCCUGAUAAACUCGCUGGCCUGGCACUUUAUUUAAUGCGAAUCUAUUCCUUUUGUUUGGGCGGCCUCCCUUUGACAUUUUCGGCCCUUUCAAUUGGCUGCGAGAGGCAUUCUUUUCAGGUGCAAGUACAUACAGUAUUUUCAUUUCGGGCUCCUUUGUUCGUAAAUAUUUCAUUUCUUUAAACUGCUCUUAUUUCUCGUAUAAUAAAUUUAUGGCCACCUCACCUGCUCGUUUGCUCCUUUGUGGAAACGCACACAUACGCAGUAGGGCGUGGGCGUUGGGCGGUGGGUUGUGGGCGUGGUAGUCAUAUAUCAUACAAGGCAUCAUCAUAUAGUUCAUUGAACCUCCUGGCCAUAAAGCAACUCAAAAAUCUUCAACAGCUUUAAGUGUCUUACAAUGUCUACCGUUAAUCCUGGCCCCCACUUACGAACACACUUACAUCACACACAGACACACAGGCAGCGACACAAAAGCAGACAGUGUCGUUUAUAAUGUCUUCAUUUAUGGCACAAAAUGUGGGACAUUUUUUUGUGCUCAGUUACGCACCAACACCGAAAAAGACACGAAGAAAGCUCUAUGUCUUGGCGGGCAGAAGAAUUACAGUGAGUGCCAAAAGUCGCCUCACAACUUCUCUGCUCACCGAGCGGAAAAUAAUAUCGUGCUAUAAAUUUUGCUCAGUUUUUCCUGUGCUUGCCCCGCUCGAUUCCAAGCCCCAUUUUUCCGAGCUUAAUUUUUGCUGGUCGCUGGCUUGCUGGAUUUUCCCCUGGCGGUCGAGCCCUGCCGAUUCCACUGCUUCCACCGCCGACUGAUGAAAGUUUAACGACCAAAGUUGACACGCUGCGGCGAUUAUUUAGAAAGUUAAUGACUUAUAACAUACCCCCGAAAAAGUCACCGGAAAUGAACAGCAGCGGAGGAGGUAAUCAGAGAGAGAGGAAGGCCAGGAUGUCCAGAAGGAGCCAGAUUCACUGAUUUAGUGACCAGUCGGAGAGUUGGUUUUAGUUGAUUGGACUUUAUUGAAAAAUGAGUCGCCAUUUCUUAAGCUCUUGAACAGAAUCAGCGAAAAAAUACGAUAAAUUACAGGUUAACUAGGGCCGGCCAAUCCGGCCGUCGUGGCGCGAAUGUAAAUUUGGAGAAAAAAGGACGAGAAUCUGCAAUUUGAUUUCCUGUCAGUUGGGUGACCAGUGAUUGCGGGGAAAUUUUUCAGGUUCUUAGCGCAGUUAAAAUAUUAUGGCAAUAAAUCAACUAAUGAUUUUUCAAAUGCGCUAAAUGAUUAAACUUAUUGUAGGUAAAGGAACACUUUAAAUUAAAAAAAUUAAAUUUAUUAUCUGAAAUCUCCCAACCUAUUUCCAUUAAAAAGUGUUUUGGGGGCUAUCUUUGAUGCCAUUUCUUUUUGACAUCAAACUGAUAAGCCUAAAUUCUGAAAAAAGUUGCACCACCCAUUUCCACACAAAGUGCAAAUAUAUACUCGUACUAGAUACCUUUGCAGAAGCUUCACCAAACUUUAGCCUUAAUCGAAAUCGGCUCAGCAAAACAAUUUCCCACCAUCCAUAAGUUCUGUCGGAACUCAAGCCACCUUUACCCGAAUAGCAGCGUAAGUUCUGGGCGCUUAUUUAUAGUUAGUUUUCACUUCUUUUGGCGGCUGCAGCUCCCACCUUCCUACUCCUCAGCCCGGCUGUCUGGCAGCCGCAUAAAUUGUAUAAUGUAAUUUUCCAGCAACUGUCAGCCCCAGCCCGGUUCAGCCCACAAGUCCACAAAACUGUCAGGACGAUGAGGACUGUCUGCCUAUGCGAAAUAUAUUUGUAUAUAUAUAUCUGUUCUCAUAUAUAUGUAUAUCUCGUACGAAUGUAUGUACGUUUGGGAGUCUCCGGCGACUGGCAGCCACCAACUUAUGCAACAAUUUCGGAGCGGAAAUUGCUUUAGCACCUGCCUCCGCUGCCCCUCCCCCGAAAGGUGUACAUUUUGGGGAUAUGUGUUAUACCAAAUAUAUGUACCUACAUAUAUAUAUAUGGAUGGCAAGUCUGCCAUGUGGGUGUGUCUGGUCUGGAUUCGGCACGUUCGCCUUUUUGGCACAUACUUCAAUAGCAAGUUGAAUUCCAUUCCAUUCGAUUCGAUUCGUGGCUCUCGUCUCGUCGUCACUCGUUUAGCUUGGCAACUUUUUUGGCUCAAAACCCAUAGACACACGAACACUUUGACAGUUUGUCUGCCUGAAUGAAUUGAAGUUGGCCUGGGCGCCCGAUUAGGGAUUGGGAUUGGGUUUGGUGGUUCCCGGUAACCCCAAAAAACGUCGACGCUCUGGGUUUUACGGAUUUUGAAAUUUAUUUGCCACCGAAAUUGAGUCGAACCGAAAGAAGAAAGUUUUCCCCGAGCAAGAGUGUGUGUGGAUCUGACAAAGUUAUUCCUAUAACUUGUUCCCUUUGUUCGGGUUAAAGUGUAAUUUGAAUUUAAGAUUUGCUGUGGUUACCGAAAGGUGCCAAGAAUUUCCAUCCUCCCCGAAAAACCAACCUGUGGUUGAGCCCCACCAUCUAGCCUUCAAUAAUUAAUUUAACUGUAGCAUUUUUGUGGAUGGAGAAGUGCGACGGCCUCAUUCAUCAGAGAUUCAUAGUUUUAACUUUAAAUUAAGAUGCCGAUUUCCGGGGGGCUAUGCCAUAACAAAGGCCCAGAGGUCACUUGUUUAUAUUGGCCAGCAGUUGAGGAUGGGGAGCGUGUUAAUUUGCCAAGUUUUGCAGCAGCCGGACGAUGAUGGGCGAUGAUGACGGAGCUGGAUCUUGGGUAGCAUCUGUGCCCGAUGGCCCGUAAUUGGAAGCCUGCCCCUGAUUUCUUGAGCUUACAGUGAGCCACGAGGAUGCGACAGAGGACGAGGAUGAGCGGCAGCGGCAGCAGGAGCAUCAGCAGCAGAAUUCAGUUGGGAAAGGGGAUGGGGAUGAAAUGGGGAUGGGGGGAUGGGGCUGUUGAUGAUGCUUUCGACACUGUUGAUGAUGCCGCUGCUCCUGCUGCCAGUCAAGAUAGCAAUGACAACCUAACGAGCUGCUCCCUGUGCGUCUGUGUUUGCCAGAGUCUGCGCGUGAGUUUGUACGAGAAAUGUAGAUGCUCUACAAAAAAAGAAAUUUAAUGGAUGGCGAACAACGAUUGGCCCCAAAAAAAUACUUUAAAUGGGUUAAAUUGAAGUAAAACAUCACAAUAUUCAAUGUUAUUUUCCUUGAAGCAACAAUUACUUGCAUUCAAAAAGGAGAAAUUGAUAAGACAAUGAAACGACCUAUAUAUCAAAUUAAAGCUAAUAUCAUAUUGCAAACAUUUUAAAAUAAAUGUUAAAAUUGAACAAAUAAAGGUUAUUUACAGUUUGUUUGUAGUUAAACACAA